UACGGGGGGUGCGAGCGUUGUUCGGAAUCACUGGGCUUAAAGGGCGCGUAGGCGGGCUCGCCAGUCAGGGGUGAAAGCCCACGGCUUAACCGUGGAAGUGCCUCUGAUACUGCGGGUCUCGAGGGAGGUAGGGGCGUGCGGAACUUCCGGUGGAGCGGUGAAAUGCGUAGAUAUCGGAAGGAACACCGGUGGCGAAAGCGGCGCGCUGGACCUCUUCUGACGCUGAGGCGCGAAAGCCAGGGGAGCGAACGGG
rnacentral:rRNA from 1 species